UAAUACGUAGGGCGCAAGCGUUAUCCGGAAUUAUUGGGCGUAAAGAGCUCGUAGGCGGUUUGUCGCGUCUGCCGUGAAAGUCCGGGGCUCAACUCCGGAUCUGCGGUGGGUACGGGCAGACUAGAGUGAUGUAGGGGAGACUGGAAUUCCUGGUGUAGCGGUGAAAUGCGCAGAUAUCAGGAGGAACACCGAUGGCGAAGGCAGGUCUCUGGGCAUUAACUGACGCUGAGGAGCGAAAGCAUGGGGAGCGAACAGGAUUAGAUACCCUGGUAGUCCAUGCCGUAAACGUUGGGCACUAGGUGUGGGGGACAUUCCACGUUUUCCGCGCCGUAGCUAACGCAUUAAGUGCCCCGCCUGGGGAGUACGGCCGCAAGGCUAAAACUUAAAUGAAUUGACGG
rnacentral:rRNA from 1 species